AAAUGAAUAGACGGGGACCCGCACAAGCGGUGGAGCAUGUGGUUUAAUUCGACGAUAAGCGAGGAACCUCACCAAGGUUUGACAUCUGGCUGCAGACUCCUGGAAACAGGAGAGCCUUCGAGGGUGCCAGACAGAUGCUGCAUGGUUGUCGUCAGCUCGUGUCGUGAGAUGUACCGUUAAGUCGGAAAACGAGCGCAACCCUUAUCCUAUGUUUCAUGUGUCAUAGGAAACUGCCUGCGUUAAGCAGGAGGAAGGUGGGGAUGACGUCAAAUCAGCAUGGUUCUUACACCUUGGGCGACACACGUGCUACAAUGGAGAACACAAAGGGACGCCAAACCGUAAGGUGGAGCAAACCCCAAAAAAUUCUUCUCAGUUCGGAUUGAGGUCUGCAACUCGACCUCAUGAAGUCGGAAUCGCUAGUAAACGCAUAUCAGCCAUGGUGCGUUGAAUACGUUCUCGGGUCUUGUACACACCGCCCGU
rnacentral:rRNA from 1 species